UACGGAGGGUGCAAGCGUUAUCCGGAUUUACUGGGUUUAAAGGGUGUGUAGGCGGACUUUUAAGUCAGCGGUGAAAUCUCCGGGCUCAACCCGGAAACUGCCAUUGAUACUAUUAGUCUUGAAUCUUGUUGAGGUGGGCGGAACGGGUCAUGUAGCGGUGAAAUGCAUAGAUAUGACCCGGAACACCGAUUGCGAAGGCAGCCCACUAAGCAAGUAUUGACGCUGAGGCACGAAAGCGUGGGGAGCAAACAGG
rnacentral:rRNA from 1 species